rnacentral:rRNA from 1 species
AUUGAACGCUGGCGGCAGGCCUAACACAUGCAAGUCGAACGGUAGCAGGGAGCAUGUUGCUGCUUUCCUGACGGGUCGCGUGCGUGUUGGUUAUGUCUCUGCCACUUCGUGAUGGAUGGGGUUCGCUAAUGGGAGCGGUUACUACUACCGCCUAGCGUGGCAAGGCCAGGGAGGGUGAGCUUCGAGCCUAUUGCCUUCGGCUAGGCCGGAUUAGCUUGUUGGUGGGGUAAGGGCCUACCAAGGCGACGAUCCGUAACUGGUCUGAGAGGAUGAUCAGUCACACUGGAACUGAGACACGGUCCAGACUCCUACGGGAGGCAGCAGUGGGGAAUAUUGGACAAUGGGCGCAAGCCUGAUGCAGCCAUGCCGCGUGUAUGAAGAAGGUCUUCGGGUUGUAAAGCACUUUCAGCUGGGAGGAAGGGAGGUAAGUUAAUACCUUGGCGUAUUGACGUUACCAGCAGAAGAAGCACCGGCUAACUUCGUG